rnacentral:tRNA from 1 species
AUUUAAAUAAUUUAAAAUAAAAUAUUGAUUUGUGGAAUCAAAAAUAUUAACUUAUUAAUUUUAAAUA